rnacentral:SRP_RNA from 1 species
CUGUCCAGGUGGCUUCAUUGGCGGAUCAGGUUGCAGCAAAGGCAAAGGAAAUCGUGGCUGAGCCGGAGGUGAUCGCUUCAGCUCCAGCUCCAGUGGCGAUUGCGACGGCUGCCACAAGGGAGGUUGAUGCUGCGGAGGAGGAGGCAAUAAAGAAAAAGGCGGCCGAGAAGGCGGCUG